GACGAACGCUGGCGGCGUGCUUAACACAUGCAAGUCGAACGGAAAGGCCCUGCUUUUGUGGGGUGCUCGAGUGGCGAACGGGUGAGUAACACGUGAGUAACCUGCCCUUGACUUUGGGAUAACUUCAGGAAACUGGGGCUAAUACCGGAUAGGAGCUCCUGCUGCAUGGUGGGGGUUGGAAAGUUUCGGCGGUUGGGGAUGGACUCGCGGCUUAUCAGCUUGUUGGUGGGGUAGUGGCUUACCAAGGCUUUGACGGGUAGCCGGCCUGAGAGGGUGACCGGCCACAUUGGGAAUGAGAUACGGCCCAGACUCCUACGGGAGGCAGCAGUGGGGAAUAUUGCACAAUGGGCGGAAGCCUGAUGCAGCAACGCCGCGUGCGGGAUGACGGACUUCGGGUUGUAAACCGCUUUCGCCUGUGACGAAGCGUGAGUGACGGUAAUGGGUAAAGAAGCACCGGCUAACUACGUG
rnacentral:rRNA from 1 species